rnacentral:lncRNA from 1 species
UCCCGGCCCGGGGGCUUUGGCCGCAGAGCUCGCGGGUUCUGCAGUCUGGACUCGCAUGGGGAGAUCGCGAUGUUCUCCUCCCAGGCCGGCGGCCGGCCGCGAACGUGGGAGGCUAGUCCCUCAGAGCACAAGAAGUGGGUGGAAGUAUUUAGAGCAUGCGAUGAAGAUAACAAAGGCUAUCUAAGCAGAGAGGACUUUAAAGUUGCUGUUGUAAUGCUGUUUGGUUACAAGCCAUCCAAGAUAGAAGCUGAUUCUGUGAUGUCUUCAGUAGAUCCAAACACUUCUGGGAUACAACUUAAGGAGUUUUUAGACAUCGUAAGGAAAAAGAAGGAAGCUCAACUGUAUCGCAAUGAAGUAAGACACAUCUUCACAGCUUUUGACAGGCACUAUCGUGGAUAUUUAACUCUGGAAGAUUUCAAGAAAGCAUUUAAGCAGGUGGCUCCCAAGUUAUCAGAAAGGAUUAUCCUCGAGGUAUUCAGGGGUGGAGAGAAGCAGAGAGAAAGCAGAGCUUCUUUGUGAGGCGACGUGUUGGCCAACGCCGCCCGCUGUUAGUGUCAACGUGGAUGCUGGCGUGCCGCGGGUUGUGUGCGUCGUGUGGAGAGUAGAGCUGGGUUCAUCGGUGGCGGCCCCGCCUUCGUUUGUUUUCAAGGCGGGAGACCCAGGCUGCAGUUCUUGCGCACCUGAGAAAGGGGACGUGAAGACCGCCUUCGCACUGUCUCUGUGAACUAAUCCUGACAGGAUGGGGAGGUGGCUCAAAGCAGUUUCUGUCAGGAGGCUGCAGACGGAAAGCAGUGUAAGCCGUGUCGGCACACGCUGCCGUGAGAGAUGACAGC